AUCAACUUUCGAUGGUAGGAUAGAGGCCUACCAUGGUGGUAACGGGUAACGGGGUGUUAGGGCACGACACCGGAGAGGGAGCCUGAGAAACGGCUACCACAUCCAAGGAUGGCAGCAGGCGCGCAAAUUACCCAAUCCCGACACGGGGAGGUAGUGACAAUAAAUAACAAUACGGGAUUCUUUAGGAUCUCGUAAUUGGAAUGAGUACAAUUUAAAUCUCUUAACGAGGAACAAUUGGAGGGCAAGUCUGGUGCCAGCAGCCGCGGUAAUUCCAGCUCCAAUAGCGUAUAUUAAAGUUGUUGCAGUUAAAAAGCUCGUAGUUGAAUUUCGGGGUUAGUAGGUUGGUCAUGCCUCUGGUAUGUACUGGUCUCACUGAUUCCUCCUUCCUGAUGAGCCGUAAUGCCAUUAAUUUGGUGUUGCGGGGAAUUUGGACUGUUACUUUGAAAAAAUUAGAGUGUUUAAAGCAAGCUAACGCUUGAAUACAUUAGCAUGGAAUAAUGAAAUAGGACGUUCGAUCCUAUUUUGUUGGUUUCUAGGAUUGACGUAAUGAUUAAUAGGGAUAGUUGGGGGCAUUAGUAUUCAAUUGUCAGAGGUGAAAUUCUUGGAUUUAUUGAAGACUAACUACUGCGAAAGCAUUUGCCAAGGAUGUUUUCAUUAAUCAAGAACGAAAGUUAGGGGAUCGAAGACGAUCAGAUACCGUCGUAGUCUUAACCAUAAACUAUGCCGACUAGGGAUCGGAUGAUGUUAAUUUUUUAAUGACUCAUUCGGCGCCUUACGGGAAACCAAAGUGUUUGGGUUC
rnacentral:rRNA from 1 species